GCCGGUGUAGUUCAAUGGUAGAAUUCCUGCUUCCCAAGCAGGAGGCGCGGGUUCGAUUCCCGUCACCGGCU
rnacentral:tRNA from 1 species